rnacentral:lncRNA from 1 species
AGUUUUGUCGUCUGACCAUCACAGCAAAAAGUAGUUUUUCGGGACAGAUUAACUUACACCGCUUUUGGGAUUUUAGAUAUCGUUUUUCCCAAAUGUCUGAGAUUUGUUUUGAGUUCUGGAAUUCUGACGCCAGAAUCUCUCUUAGAAUUCAUCGGUGAACGUGCUGCAAAAAUCGGAAUCGCGAAAUUUUCAUUUUCCCGCGAUUUCACCUGCCUAUAAAUAGCUGAAAAGUCAAAAUAUCUUCAUUU